CCGGCGAGUGUUUUUUGCCAUGCCGACACGGCAUUUUUGUGUCAUGGCUGCGACGCCAGGGUGCACGACUCUGACGAGGUGGCGUCCCAUCAUGCUCGGGUGUUGGUUUGCGAAGUGUGCGAGCAAGCGCCCGCUAUUGUCACCUGCAAGGCCGACGCGGCGGCUCUCUGCGCCACCUGUGACCGUGACAUACACUGCGCUAAUCCACUUGCCCGCCGCCACGAACGCCUCCCCAUAGUAUCCUUCUACAAGGCAUCACAGGUUAACAACAAUAACGAGAACAAAUACUUCUCUGAAGACGAGGCCGAGGCCGC
rnacentral:lncRNA from 1 species